rnacentral:rRNA from 1 species
GGACCCGCACAAGCGGUGGAGCAUGUGGUUUAAUUCGAUGCAACGCGAAAAACCUUACCUACUCUUGACAUACUUGGGAGCUCUUGUAAUGAGAGUGUGCCUUAUGGAACCAAGAUACAGGUGCUGCAUGGCUGUCGUCAGCUCGUGUCGUGAGAUGUUCCGUUAAGUCGGAUAACGAGCGCAACCCUUACCCUUAUUUGCCAGCGAUUCGGUCGGGAACUAUAAGGGGACUGCCGGUGAUAAACCGGAGGAAGGUGAGGACGACGUCAAGUCAUCAUGGCCCUUACGAGUAGGGCUACACACGUGCUACAAUGGGGAAUACAGACGGACGCUAAGCCGCGAGGUGGUGCUAAUCCUAGAAAGUCUCUCGUAGUCCGAAUUGCAGUCUGGAACUCGACUGCAUG